ACACUAGGCCUAUAAGAGCAUUGGCAUUGAAUUAUGCAAAUGCAAAUAAAAUAGAUAAUUUAGUUAAUAGAAAAUAAAAAUAGUCUGCAUUGAAUUAUGUAAAUGUAAACCAAAAUGACUUUCAGUUACAGUAAAUCAACUCUUGUGGUUAUAUUUGACCUUCACUGUAGCUCAA